rnacentral:lncRNA from 1 species
UUUGACUUUCUAGAAGCAGAGGUUAUUUUACGGUUUCUCCUUCUUUCAACUGGUCAUCGGCUCUGCAGUUUUUUUUGAUGGUUUUUCAUUUUGAAUCGGCAGUUAUCGGCAGUUCGCAGCGCUCUCCAACCUUGGGCGCCUAAAACCAUCCCUAUAAAUUCCCAAUCAAUUAAUGCAUCACCCAUUUUCCCAAUCAUUCCUCUCCCAUACUCUGAACUCUCACCGUAACCGUAGAGAUCGGUGCCGUUCUUCAUUGGCUUUUGCUUCAUAGGGGAUAAUGACGACCGCCCAUGGAGAGACUGUUGAACAUCGGGAAUGGCCAUAGAUCUUCCUCUCGGUUCAAAAUAUCCGAAAGUGGUUGGUAGAUGAAGUACGAGAAACUUAACCUAAAGGAUGAAGCCAUUGAAUAUUUGAACCGGCUCCAAAUGUAAGUACAGGUACAUGUUUCUUGAUGCACAUCAUGUUAUCUUUUCAUCAUUGUGUGUUUAGUUUGAUGAAUUGGAUCAUUAGUAUAACAUAUGAUUGAUUUUGUUUCAAAACUUAACUGAUGAUUCUUAAUCAUCAUGUAUGAUGAUGCAUUGCUGACACUUACCGUGAGAAACGGGUUCGGUUUGCCACCUGUUUAUGCACAAGAACAAGGGAUGCUAAGGGGAGUGGGAAUAAGAACUGGUAUAUAAUGGGGGAAUGGGAAUAGAAUGCAAAAAGGGAUACAAAUUGCCAAAGAUAAAGCAAAAGGUUCUCAAUGUGAAGGGAAUUUGGUAUUAUGCCCAACCACAUUGGCAUGACGUCAUCAACCCGCAUGAUGAAAACAUAUCCCCGUUUUAGCUCAGAUUUGGCAAAUGGGAAGCAGUAUAAAUAUCCCAAUCAUUCGACAUCAAUGAAGGUUAUGGAUUUGUGGAUGAGAUUAAUGCUUCAGCCACUUAUCAAUGGUGGGAGGGAUCAAUUUGUAGUAUUCUUGUGUUCCUUACUUGUCCUCUUGUAUGGUCACACAAACAAUGGAGGCGAAAGAUGAAUUUACAAAGGAAUACGGGAAUUUGUUAGAUCGUAGUAUGAUCAUGCCUGCUUAUGCUCUUGUCGUUAACGUACUCUAUAUGAAGCUCGUAAGGAUUGAUAUGGAUGUAAUCUGGGUCAAUGUAGAAAAUCAUUAAGGAUAGACCUGUCAAAAGGAGCCCAUCCAUCAAAUUUCGGGUCAUGUUGGGUGUUUUCUUAUAACAUGAUGCGUUAUUUUGGACACAAGUAGUUUUUUUUUCAUGGUCAUCCUGGGCUCAACUAAAGAGAUCAAAAUAGUAGCCGGGCCAGGAAUGGAUUGGUAGAGUUAAAUGGUGGAGCGGGUCAGAAUGGGCUCUCCUUUUGAUUCAGACAAUUUGAAACACAAUUGGUUCAUUUGAGGACCUAAUCGUAAUAACCUGAAUUCAAAUUCGGAUUUGGUAGGGUUCAAAUUUCGGAUUUUCAAACCAGAUUCAACUGAUAAACUCUACGAAGUCUGCAGUUAUUUUAUUUUGUUAAAUCGGGUUCUCGAUUUGAAACUGAAACUGAACCCCAUUCAAGUGUCUACCUUUUGAAUUUAAUUUCCAUAAUGAUAAAUUCUGAUUUCAUGUGUUUUUAUUU